rfam:Chlorella variabilis plastid, complete genome.
GGAAAGGUGGCAGAGCGGUUGAAUGCAUCGGUUUUGAAAACCGACGUAGUUGCGAGACUACCGGGGGUUCGAAUCCCCCCCUUUCCG